rnacentral:lncRNA from 1 species
UUGAGUCAGACUCAUAGUGAUCGUUUAUCAAAGAAUGACUUUGGUUAUCAAAUGAUUGAACAACCGAGAGCAAUUUACUUACGAUACUUAGUUGACAUUCAUAAAAAGCAUCUAAUGAAUUAUGAGUUCAAUCCAUCCUAUUUAGCAGAAAGACGGAUAUUCCUUGCUCAUUAUCAGACAAUCACUUAUUCACAAACUUCGUGUAGGGAAAAUCUAGACGAUCCUAUUUGAUCAAAUACCUAGCGACAAACUCCUAUGUUCCUUUCAUUAUGGUAUUUUUGAACAAGUUCCUGGAUAACAAGCCUAAAGGUUUUCUUCUUGAUGAUAUUGAUAUUGAUGAUAGUGACAAUAUUGAUGAUAAUGACAAUCUUGAUGCUAGUGACGAUAUCGAUCGUGACCUUGAUACGGAGCUGAAACUGCUAACUAGGAUGAAUGGGCUAACUAUGUAUAUGAUGCCGGAAAUAGACCGAUUUUAUAUCACCCUUCAAUUCGAAUUAGAAAAAGCAAUGUCUCCUUGCAUAAUAUGGAUUCCAAACAUUCAUGAUCUGGAUGUGAAUGAGUCGAAUGACUUAGCCCUCGGUUUAUUAGUGAACCAUCUCUCCAGGGAUUGUGAAAGAUGUUCUACUAGAAAUAUUCUUGUUAUUGCUUCGACUCAUAUUCCCUAAAUAGUGGAUCCCGCUCUAAUAGCUCUGAAUAAAUUAAAUACGUGCAUUAAGAUACAAAGGCUUCUUCUUCCACAACAACGAAAAUACUUUUUCACUCUUUCAUAUACUAGGAGAUUUCACUUGGAAAAGAAAUUGUUCCAUACUAACGGAUUCAGGUCCAUAACCAUGGGUUCCAAUGCACGAGAUCUUGUAGCACUUACCAAUGAGGUCCUAUCGAUUAGUAUUACACAGAAGAAAUCAAUUAUAGACUCUAAUAUAAUUAGAUCCGCUCUUUAUAGACAAAUUUGGGAUUUGCGAUCCCAGGUAAGAUCGGUUUAGGAUCAUGGGAUCCUUUUCUAUCAGAUAGGAAGGGCUGUAGCACAAAAUGUACUUUUAAGUAAUUGCCCUACAUAUCAUAUAUCUAUCUAUAUGAAGAAGAAAUCAUAUAACGAAAGGGAUUCUUAUUUGUACAAAUGGUACUUCGAGCUUGGAACAAGCAUGAAGAGAUUAACGAUACUUCUUUAUCUUUUGAGUUGUUCUGCCGGAUCGGUCGCUCAAGAUCUUUGGUCUUUAUCCGGACCCGAUGAAAAAAAUGGGAUCACUUCUUAUGGACUCGUUGAGAAUGAUUCUGAUCUAGUUCAUGGCCUAUUAGAAGUAGAAGGCACUCUGGUGGGAUCUUCAUGGACAGAAAAAGAUUGCAGUCAGUUUGAUAAUGAUCAACUGACAUUGCUUCUUCGGCCCGAACCGAGGAAUCCCUUAGAUAUGAUGCAAAACGGCUCUUGUUCUAUCCUUGAUCAGAGAUUUCUCUAUGAAAAAUAUGAAUCGGAGUUUGAAAAGGGGGAGGGAGAAGGAGCCCUUGACCCGCAGGAGAAUUUAUUCAAUCACAUAGUUUGGGCUCCUAGAAUAUUGCGCCCUUGGGGCUUUCUAUUUGAUUGUAUCGAAAGGCCCAAUGAAUUAGAAUUUCCCUAUUGGUCCAGGUCAUUUCGGGGCAAGCGGAUCAUUUAUGGUGAAGUGGGUGAGCUUCAAGAGAAUGAUUCGGAGUUCUUGCAGAGUGGAACCAUGCAGUACCAGACACGAGAUAGAUCUUCCAAAGAACAAGGCCUUUUUCGAAUAAGCCAAUUCAUUUGGGACCGUGCAGAUCCACUCUUUUUCCUAUUCAAAGAUCAGCCCCCUGGCUCUGUGUUUUCACAUCGAGAAUUAUUUGCAGAUGAAGAGAUGUCAAAGGGGCUUCUUACUUCCCAAACAGAUCCUCCUACAUCUAUAUAUAAAUGCUGGUUUAUCAAGAAUAAGCAAGAAAAGCACUUCGAAUUGUUGAUUAAUCGUCAGAGAUGGCUUAGAACCAACAAUUCAUUAUCUAAUGAAUCUUUCCGUUUUAAUACUUUAUCCGAGAGUUAUCAGUAUUUAUCAAAUCUGUUCCUAUCUAACAGAAUGCUAUUGGAUCAAAUGACAAAGACAUUGUUGAGAAAAAGAUGGCUUUUCCGGAUGAAAUGAAAAUUGGAUUCAUGUAACUGGAGAAAGAUUUCCCAUUCCUUAGCCGGAAAGAUAUGUGGCCAUGAAAGAGGGAUUAAGUGGAACAGAAUUGACUGGGUGGUAGAGUCGUGGAAACGCUUGUUUCUUCCAUAUUUUGAACCUUAGUUCCAUGGAAGAAUAUGUUACUGCUGAAACACGGAAGAAUUGAAAUCUUAGAUCAAAACACUAUGUAUGAAUGGUAUGAACUACCUAAACAAGAAUUCUUGAACA